rnacentral:rRNA from 1 species
UACGGAGGGUGCAAGCGUUAUCCGGAUUCACUGGGUUUAAAGGGCGCGUAGGAGGGCAGGUAAGUCAGUGGUGAAAUCUUCGAGCUUAACUCGGAAACUGCCGUUGAUACUAUCAAUCUUGAAUAUAGUGGAGGUGAGCGGAAUAUGUCAUGUAGCGGUGAAAUGCUUAGAUAUGACAUAGAACACCCAUUGCGAAGGCAGCUCGCUACACUAUUAUUGACGCUGAGGCACGAAAGCGUGGGGAUCAAACAGG